GAUGAACGCUAGCGGGAGGCCUAACACAUGCAAGCCGAGCGGUAUUGUUUCUUCGGAAAUGAGAGAGCGGCGUACGGGUGCGUAACACGUGUGCAACCUGCCUUUAUCUGGGGGAUAGCCUUUCGAAAGGAAGAUUAAUACUCCAUAAUAUAUUGAACGGCAUCGUUUAAUAUUGAAAGCUCCGGCGGGUAGAGAUGGGCACGCGCAAGAUUAGCUAGUUGGUGAGGUAACGGCUCACCAAGGCGAUGAUCUUUAGGGGGCCUGAGAGGGUGAUCCCCCACACUGGUACUGAGACACGGACCAGACUCCUACGGGAGGCAGCAGUGAGGAAUAUUGGUCAAUGGGUGCAAGCCUGAACCAGCCAUCCCGUGUGAAGGACGACUGCCCUAUGGGUUGUAAACUUCUUUUGUAUAGGGAUAAACCUACCCUCGAGAGGGUAGCUGAAGGUACUAUACGAAUAAGCACCGGCUAACUCCGUG
rnacentral:rRNA from 1 species